GAUUAAGCUGUUGUGAUGAGCUGAGGGAUGAGUGCAGGAUAUCGCAGAUUUGAUCCAAGGGAGUCCUUGGGGUCCUUAUGGAAUGGAGAUGGGGGAAUUUUUCUGCGGUUUAUCAAUUUGGAACAUCCGCUGGGUGAUUACAGCUGAUGGAAUGCAAUUGGGGAGGAGUUCAAGACUUUUCCAGUGUUUGCUGGGGAGUGGGAGGGCGGGUUUAGGGGUUCUCUUGGUGUUGGUGUGCCGGAGGGAGCCAGGGGGAGGUUGGCUCAUUGUGUUGAAAUCAGCUGUGCAAUCAACAAACGGGGCAGGGGGUUUUUGGUUGGGAGAAUCUAUUAGUGAAUGCAAAAGUUCAUUAGCAUAUACUCGGUAGCUGUGCCUCCAUCUUGGGUUGAGAAUGGGAGGAAAGGGAAUUCGAGGUUGAAUUUUAUUUUCUGACUUUGGGGAAAAAUUAUGAAAUUCUGAGCUUUCAAAGAAAGUUAUGAAAGUACAAGUAAAUAAAUUCAUAUAUCAAAGAAUGAUUAUCAGAACAUUCAUAUCAGCUUUUCUAAUUACGUCGAAAAUGUAAACAUAGAUUAGAAAAUUCUUCUCGAGAGAUAAUGGAAAGGUAUAAAAAAAUACUGUGGCACAUAAUACGAAGACUCGCCCUAGCUCUUUCGACUGAAAUCGAGGGUUUGGAAAUGUAGGGGACGUGAAAGGAAGUCCCUCCCCAUUCAAACGCCAUUACUGUAAUUGCGAUGUUAGUAUGAUCGAUAACAAUUCAUUUAAAAGUCUCGCGAUAAGUCUUUUGAAAAAAUUAACUUGUGGGGGGUUGGAACAGGAUUGCAGUCCAGCAAGAAGCUUAAAAAAUCUCAAAAUCAUAAUGAAAAUCUUGAAAUAGGGCAUCAUUUUUUUUUGACUUUCUAAAUUUAUUUCUUCUCGUAACCCUGAACGGCUCAACUGAAGUUGAUUCAGACUGCCUUAAAAAUAGGGAAGAACAUGGAAAUUAAACGGCUUCUAGGGUAUUUCAUGGUGGCAGACUCUUGGUUUCUCGCGCCUGACGCGUAACACCCUCGGACACCACCGUGUGAUCUAUAAAUAGAUUAGCUAAAUCUAUCGUCCCGCAGAAUGCUAAGUUGCGCGAUGUAUGGGAGUAAAGGGAGACACGCUGUGAUUCAGUGGAGACAGAAAAAAAAUCGCUCAAGAGAGCGAGAGAGUAGACCGAAGGGGAGAAUGAAGUAGUAGUGGAGGAAGUAGUUACAGACGGUGAAGUAGAUGAGAAAUUCGUCAAGAUCAAUUUGUCUUGUGAGACGCGCGUCUGUGGCUUCGGUAAUUGUUUGAGGUGGGCGAAAAGAAACGCCAGAGGCAGUUACUUUGGAAAGUUGGCUUGAAUUUUCAAACGGCAACCACCAACGUUCAAGAGCAACAAAAAUGACACUCAUUCUCGUGACGAUCUAGGGAGGGAAACGAAGGUACACAAGUGCAGGCCCUAUUAGUAGCUCGUUAAACUACCUUGUACUUGGAAAAGUGGCUUUGCACUUUUGCUACGUGACUCCCAGAAAUACAAAUCUUCGUGAACAGGAAACCACGAAGGAAAAGCUCUCAGUCAACAAGUUUGUGAAAAUAUGGGAGAGACAUUUUUAGAGGUAUCUUGAAUAAUGUCGAAGAAUUGUGAAGGUUCUAUGUGGAGAAAUGACGUAAAAAAUGAUGUCCUGCCAGCUACGAUUUUUGAUCCGGAAACGAGGAAGAACCGCAGAGGUGGCGUAGACUUGAGGGCAACCAAAACACACUUAGGAACACAUUGAGUUGAAGGCGAGAGCGGGAUCGCGUACCCCCGGCAUUACUACUACGGGCUUUUACAAGCGAGGAGACGCAAGCAGCGAAAAGGAGAGCCCCGGAGGAGCUGGAACGGCCAGUCUGCGCACAGACAUCGAUCGAAACUCACCUCACGCUCCUCGUUCUCCAACCUAUUCACCAGUGUUUUCCGUCGAUUUACCACACGCCUGCAGUGCGACCGUGUACGCGGUACCUCGUGGUUCAAUUCCCAAGGUUUGCUUUACCCGUGUUUUCCCCCUUUAUUCAAUUUUCCCCAUUCGUUCGAUUUCAAAGUGAAACUCCAACAGUGCUACAAUUCCAUCGUAUUUGUUUGUACAAUUUCAAAAAACGUCAAUGAGGACAACUGACGCUGCACUCUCCAUGUCCAACAUGAGUGGGUUAUUGUAAUUACUCGGAGAUUGAUUUUGGAGCGGAUAAAUCAUGUUCAAACGACUGGCAAAAGUGAGACGACACAGCGCAGACGAGGUUGGUGCAUCGCUUCCACCAACUCCCCUGGACGAGCCGCCUGGAAAUGCGGGAACAUCGAAUAAAUUCCUGGAUGUACCGAUCCAUCAGGCAUUUAAUCCAGCAAUACUCCGUGGCUCGAAAUUCAAGUAUGCGAGAAGAAGUUGUGGCGAUGCUACGGCCAUUCACUCAAUGAUCCUCACCGAUGAGACUGAAAUUGGUACACGCGUUGGAGUUGACAAUGAUUAUCAAACUGUCACUGCUGUGCCGGCUUUCAUCGUCGAGCAUGAGCCUGAGAAAGCCCGAGGUUUGAGUGUGUGGGGACGGAGGAUGAGCAAAAAAAUCGAAUCCUUCCGGCGUGUCGGCUCGAGAGAGUCCAUCUGUGCACUCGAACGUGAAGACACCGUUAACAAUAACAAUCACGAGAGUAAUAACAAUAAUACCGAUAAAUCCCAGGAGAAUCGUAAAAAUGAUGGUAAAUUGUUGUCAAGACGAUCACCAUCGCCGUUCAAAUCAUUCUUCAUCAGAAUGGGUUCAACCGGAAUGUUGAACUCCACUAAAACAAUGAGAAAAUCUUCCAACUGUGAUGAUAGACUAAAAACCACUGAUAAGGAAACACUAUUCAGAAGCUGCAGUACAUCACAAUUGAAUACGAGUCCAACUUAUGUCAAAGGUGACGAUCCCUCGGAGGGAAUUGAUCUUCAGAUUGCUCAUAGAAAAGACAAGACAAUGUCCUGUGAUAAUCUUGUGGAUAAUCACGACGAUGAUGUUUUCGAGGAAAUAUCGAUGACCUCAUCAUCGAGAAGAUCAUCAUCCUCGGGUUUUGGUGCUUGUGAUUUCAACGAUACGCGAAAUGAUUCACUGAGAAAAUCGAGUAGUUGUGACUUCAAGGAAACAAAGAGAUGUAACUUUCCCUAUGCCUUCUUGCGUUCAAAAUUAUCCGUCCUACCAGAAGAACGAAAUGGUCCUCCACAGACGAAGGAGGAUCGUCUCUUCAAAGCCACCUCCGAGGAGCAUUUUCCAGUUUUAAAAAUCGACGAGUCCUUCGAUGGUACAACGACCCUGGGCAGACGACGGAGUAAACACACGAACGGGGAUAAUCCUCAAACACCUAGAUUCAGCCGGAAUUCAUACGCCGAGUAUAGAAGUGGUAGGGCAUCCAGUAGUCUCAGUAAGUGUGACCCAGACAGGUACAGUCUCAAUCCGAGUAACCUAGAGCGAAUGGAGGACACAUUGAAACGCGAGGAGAGAUGCUACAGUCCAUUUAUACGUCCACCAAGAAAUGUACAACCAACGCUCACCGAAUCCACCCAAGAGACAUCAGACUACCCGCAAAUCGAUAAUUACAGAUUAUCGGAGACGUCUUCCCUGGGUGCCGAGUUGGAUGUCAUAGCGACACUGAGAAAUCAUCGGCGCAACUCGGCCCCCUGUCCUGAGCAAAGACUGUCAUCGCAUUACGUCAGUUCUAACGAAUCGGGGUAUGAUUCGGACGGUGCAGGAAGGGGUGAAUCGACCGCAACAUUUGAGAAUGAAACAGUUAGUUUGAAGUGUACAGAUAGCUCUGACACUAGUAGUGUUAUUGAUUCGGAGCUUGAGAAACCAAUGAGAAGUUCGACGCCUAGUGAGUGCCGCGAUGUGACCAGUAAUCUCAGUGUUAAGGCGAUUAAAUCCGUUAGAAGUGUGUCUGAUAUGAACGAGGGAAUUGAUGGCCUCAGGUGGCAUCAGAGCACAUCUGGCAGACUGUUGCCGAGCAUUCAUCAGGGCGCGUACGAUGAUAGCCCGUCAAAUCGAUUAUCAUUGUGCUCGGAUAGCGUGCAGAGUAUUAAGAUAGAGCAGCAGCAGGUGGAUUGUACACCGCCUCAUCGGGUUAGACUCCAGCAGGAUAAAACCAGAUUUCUGAGUGACAUUAUUCAGCCACCGAGAAGGGUUAGGAGAUGUCGAGCGGUGCAGUUGAUGAGGAGGGAUGGCAAGGAUAGUCUGGGGAUUAGAUUGGCUCAGCAACAUGGAGGGGAGAUGAAGUAUAUUGUUGUGCAGUUGGAGAAUGACGGAAUUGCACACAGGGAUGGAAGAUUACGUUUAGGUGAUGAAAUAGUCGAAGUAGAAGGUAAAGAAUUGCGAACACUGAAAACCCUCGAGGAAGUACAGGAAUUCCUUAAGUCAUUUACGGGUAAUAAGGUGCGACUGACUACGGCGUACGAGGAAACCGUACCCGAGGGAUAUACAGAGACAACAGCUAUCCCCAAGGAGUACGAACACCUUGAGAAUGCCAAGAAUCUCUCAAAUGCAUCACAAAUGGAUAAUCAGAGGCAGUGUGAUGUAUCGGGUGAUCGAGUGGAGGUGGAUAAGCAGGUGGAUGCUUUGCAGAGGAAACGGCCAAAUUAUCUUCCAUUAACGUGUGUUACGAAGGCUAGAAAGGAUCCUGUUGAACCUACACCGGAUGCCGACCAGUACUUGACGAGACAUGCUGCGAGAUUCGAGAAGGGCAUUGGAAAGCCGAGUCUUGGGUUCAGCGUUGUUGGUGGCAGAGACAGCCCGAGGGGAGAGAUGGGAAUUUUUGUGAGGCGAGUGUUUCCUGGAGGCCAGGCGGACUCCUCCAAGGCCCUCUUCCAAGGUACGAAGGAUUGCGGUUAAUAGAGCACAACGGACAAAUUCUCUUAACGUUGCGAACCUGAAAAACCAGAGAAAUAGAAUUAAAUAGAUACUCGAGACACGACUAACUUACUGAUAGUUUAAACUGACAACUCCCAACUAUUAAAUUACACGUUUUGUAUCAAGCCGGUAGAAAUAGCCAAUCAUCUGCCUUAAGGAGAUUUCUUACUUCACUAUUGCAUUAUUGGCACGCGAUGGAUUACUGUUUCGAGGAUUCUUCCGCAUUGAGAGGGAUUCAAGUGGAUGGACUGAUCAAUGAAGUGAAACGAAGAAUGGGAAAGGAGGUGCAAAUAAAACAUGAAUUGUACAUGAGACGAGAAUGGGGAGUGGGAAUAAAUGAGAAAAACGGUCUUCAGUUUUAUUCGUGGGCACAUCUCUAAGUCUGACAAAAGGAGAUGAAAUUCUUAGUCUCAAUGGCAAACAGUUGCGGGGGUGUACGCAUCAGGAAGUUAUUGAGUUGUUCAAGGCUGUUAGGGAAGGGGUAGUGGAGCUGGAAAUCGCUAGGAGGCAUAGGUA